GUAUUGUGAGUUUAUAUCUGAGGAAGGAGGCUACCUUCUCUGCACCCUGCGCAGUGUCCAGAUAAAGGAGGCAACUUCCAACUAUUGAUUUUUUUGGUCGAGCAGUGUAUUUGGAUCAGAGAGGGAAUUGUGCAGCUGUUGACACCACCUUCACAGCAGACCCAGGUCUGUAACAGACCCAGUUGUGCAAUAACAUUUUAAGAUGACUCCAGAGCGACUGAUAUCCGGACCCUGGGGCUCAGGGGGCUUCCUAUUAUCCGUGGCCACAGAGCAGGCUUUCUAAGUAACCUCUCACCUUCUCACAGAGCCUCUGAAAGGACCAUGAGGGGUCUUGAAUGUUCACCAUGUGACUCUGAUAAGGACUUGUUUCAGGACUCUGAUGAGGACUCGUUCCGCUGCGUUGACGUUGGGAUCCUCCUGGUUGAGAUGAAGGUGCUGUGCCCUCAUCUUCCCUGCAUCACAGUCCAGCCCGCUGAAGACCAUCACUGAGGGACAAGUUGUGAUGGACAACAUUCAAGACCUGCCAAAAGCUCUGUGCAUUCUGUGUGGACUUCCAUAUGCACUGCAUCUCAACUACCCCGAGUCUAUGGUGCUCACAGUUCAUCCUAAAGGUACUGCUCACGUUGGGCCGAGGUGAACUCAGACCAAGGUUACAGACAUUGAAGAAUGCAAUGUGAAGAAAUGCACAGACACUUGUGACUGCUGUUCAUCUGCUGCCAGUUCUCUCAGAUAUAAACAUCUCAAAGUAGAAACAAAAAUAAAGUGGAAUUACAGAAAGUAUAUCUUCUCU